CAGGCAGGCCAGACAGUCGCCGCGUAUUGCAUCAGGCAUACGGGGAGGAAAGUCCGGGCUCCAAAGAGCAGAAUGCCGGCUAACGGCCGGGCGCGGCAACGCGACGGAAAGUGGAACAGAAAGCAAAACCGCCGAUGGCUGUUUGUGCAAACAAGCGGCACAGGUAAGGGUGAAAAGGUGCGGUAAGAGCGCACCGUGCACUUGGCAACAAGGCGCAGCAGGCUAAACCCCAUUCGGAGCAAGACCAAACAGAACACGACGACGCUGCUCGCCGAGUGUUCGGGUAGGUUGCUGGAGCGUAUCAGCAAUGGUGCGCCUAGAGGAAUGACUGUCCGACGACAGAACCCGGCUUACCGGCCCGCCUGUGUA
rnacentral:RNase_P_RNA from 1 species